AUUGAACGCUGGCGGCAUGCCUUACACAUGCAAGUCGAACGGCAGCACGGGAGCAAUCCUGGUGGCGAGUGGCGAACGGGUGAGUAAAGUAUCGGAACGUGCCCAGUCGUGGGGGAUAACGUAGCGAAAGUUACGCUAAUACCGCAUACGAUCUAUGGAUGAAAGCGGGGGAUCGCAAGACCUCGCGCGAUUGGAGCGGCCGAUAUCAGAUUAGGUAGUUGGUGGGGUAAAGGCGCACCAAGCCGACGAUCUGUAGCUGGUCUGAGAGGACGACCAGCCACACUGGGAAUGAGACACGGCCCAGACUCCUACGGGAGGCAGCAGUGGGGAAUUUUGGACAAUGGGCGAAAGCCUGAUCCAGCCAUGCCGCGUGCAGGAUGAAGGCCUUCGGGUUGUAAACUGCUUUUGUACGGAACGAAAAGGUUUGGCCUAAUAAGCUGAGCUCAUGACGGUACCGUAAGAAUAAGGAUCGGCUAACUCCGUGCCAGCCGCCGCCGUAA
rnacentral:rRNA from 1 species